GUUUUAUUUAUUUACAUGAAUAAGAUAAAGCGUCAAUAUAUUUGGGAUUUGAGCUAGAAUGGCAUUGAGUUGUUGAUUUAGUUUCAACCCAUCGUUUACUGUGAAAAAAUUAGAGUGUUUAAAGCAGGUUUUGUAACCGUUAAAUACAUUAGCAUGGAAUAAUAAUAUAUGACUCGUAUGGUCUAUUUUGUUGGUUUGCACGUAUGAGUAAUGAUUAAUAGGGACAGUUGGGGGUAUUCAUAUUUGAGCGUCAGAGGUGAAAUUCUUGGAUCGCUGAAAGAUGAACUAAGGCGAAAGCAUUUACCAAGGAUGUUUUCAUUAAUCAAGAACGAAAGUUAGGGGAUCGAAGAUGAUUAGAUACCAUCGUAGUCUUAAC
rnacentral:rRNA from 1 species